ensembl:lncRNA
GUUUUUGAUUUCUAGUAAGAGGAUUAUUUUGAUAUUGCCUUCUCUAUUGCAAUUUUCUUUGGCAGAAUUGACCAGGAAGAAGAAGAAAAAAAAAUCCUGCUAAAUAUUCAACCAUCACUAAAGACUGCUGGGAAAUUAGCCAAACUGGGGAAGGAACAGUGCUCACAGCAUCUUUUUAAUGGGUGGGAGAGUCCUAAAUUCAAGUCCCAGAGAGAGAGAAAGCCUUUCUCCAUCACCAUCUGCUGGAGAUUUUUGGCAAGAGCAGACCUUGCACUUUGCAGUUGGUGUGGACAAAGUAUGUAGCCACCAAAAUGGCAUGGAAUUAAGAGUAAAUAAAGAAAAUCAGUGAAAAGAGAAGAGAAAAAACAAAAGAAAUGAACUAUUUGGAGGGAGGCUGGGUCCACGCGUCUGCAUCACGCUUAGAGUCUGGGCUCACCGGAAGCUGUUCACCAGUCCCCGACUGUCUGACGUCUGCCUGGAACUGUGGCAACUCCGGCUCUAGGAAGAGAAAGGGAGCCUAAUAGACAGGUACCUCCCCACACGUACACACACACAUACACAGGUCUACACAUAGACUCACAGGAGAGGGGAAGGUGGCUCAAGAAGGGAACGAAAGCGAGAAGGUAUUGUUAGUGCGGAUUGAGUCAUCCGUUUGAGAAUUUCAUCACACUGUUCAGCCGGUUGUUUCUAGAAUGUAAAAAUUAAUCCGUUUGGUUGGAGCGGGGUCUCACUGCGUGUAAAUACACUGGACAUUUAUUCGCUCUACCAGGCCAAACAAUCACAAGUGGAAGGAACGAUAAAGUAACAACCCAUCUUAACAAACCCAGUCUCGAGCUCAAUUCUCCUUUAGAAAAUACUCAUUAUCCCCCAUUGUUACCCCUCGCCCUCUGCCGUUCCUUUCUUCCUUCUCCUUUCCUCCCCUCUUAAUUCCUCCACACCAGAAAAACUUCUCUCCGUGGGGAAAAUGAACGAGCACAAAUGCGCCUGCAUCUGCGUCUUCGAGUUGCUGCUGGGGUCCAGUUCCGACAUGAGUCAUAAACAUAGUGCUAGCAGAGUUAAGAAGCGCA